rnacentral:rRNA from 1 species
UACGUAGGGGGCUAGCGUUGUCCGGAAUCAUUGGGCGUAAAGCGCGUGUAGGCGGCCCGGUAAGUCCGCUGUGAAAGUCGGGGGCUCAACCCUCGAAUGCCGGUGGAUACUGUCAGGCUCGAGUACGGGAGAGGCGAGUGGAAUUCCUGGUGUAGCGGUGAAAUGCGCAGAUAUCAGGAGGAACACCGAUUGCGAAGGCAGCUCGCUGGAACGUUACUGACGCUGAGACGCGAAAGCGUGGGGAGCGAACAGG